AACGAACGCUGGCGGCAUGCCUAACACAUGCAAGUCGAACGAGACCUUCGGGUCUAGUGGCGCACGGGUGCGUAACGCGUGGGAAUCUGCCCUUGGUUCGGAAUAACAGUUAGAAAUGACUGCUAAUACCGGAUAAUGUCUUCGGACCAAAGAUUUAUCGCCCAGGGAUGAGCCCGCGUAGGAUUAGCUAGUUGGUGAGGUAAAGGCUCACCAAGGCGACGAUCCUUAGCUGGUCUGAGAGGAUGAUCAGCCACACUGGGACUGAGACACGGCCCAGACUCCUACGGGAGGCAGCAGUGGGGAAUAUUGGACAAUGGCGAAAGCCUGAUCCAGCAAUGCCGCGUGAGUGAUGAAGGCCUUAGGGUUGUAAAGCUCUUUUACCCGGGAUGAUAAUGACAGUACCGGGAGAAUAAGCCCCGGCUAACUCCGUGCCAGCAGCCGCGGU
rnacentral:rRNA from 1 species